rnacentral:lncRNA from 1 species
GUGCAUCCCAUAAUUUAGCCCAUCUUUAUUGCUUCUAGCCAAGGUUCCAUGUACUGGUACCACCUACCAUCCCAUUACCCUAUUGUUAUGGUACAAUAUGCCCAAUUAGUACAGUACAAUCCCCCUGUACCAACACACAGACAGAGACCUUUUUCUUAUACCUAGCCAUGAUACCGACCAAAAUCAAGUGGCACAGGUUGGUAUAACAUGAAAUCAAGUGAACUUGGCAGUUCC